AGCAGCCGCGGUAAUUCCAGCUCCAAUAGCGUAUAUUAAAGUUGUUGCAGUUAAAAAGCUCGUAGUUGAAUUUCGGGAUCAGUUCGCUGGUCGUGCCUCUGGUAUGUACUGGUGUUACUGGUUCCUCCCUUCUGACGAACUGUCAUGUCAUUAAUUUGGUGUGGCGGGGAAUCAGGACUGUUACUUUGAAAAAUUAGAGUGUUUAAAGCAGGCUCGCGCUUGAAUACAUUAGCAUGGAAUAAUGAAAUAGGACGUUCGAUCCUAUUUUGUUGGUUUCUAGGAUUGACGUAAUGAUUAAUAGGGAUAGUUGGGGGCAUUAGUAUUCAAUUGUCAGAGGUGAAAUUCUUGGAUUUAUUGAAGACUAACUACUGCGAAAGCAUUUGCCAAGGAUGUUUUCAUUAAUCAAGAACGAAAGUUAGGGGAUCGAAGACGAUCAGAUACCGUCGUAG
rnacentral:rRNA from 1 species